rnacentral:rRNA from 1 species
AUUGAACGCUGGCGGCAUGCCUUACACAUGCAAGUCGAACGGCAGCAUGGAGAGCUUGCUCUCUGAUGGCGAGUGGCGAACGGGUGAGUAAUGCAUCGGAACGUACCGUGUAAUGGGGGAUAACGUAGCGAAAGUUACGCUAAUACCGCAUACGACCUGAGGGUGAAAGCAGGGGAUCGCAAGACCUUGCGUUAUACGAGCGGCCGAUGUCAGAUUAGCUAGUUGGUGAGGUAAGGGCUCACCAAGGCGACGAUCUGUAACGGGUCUGAGAGGAUGAUCCGCCACACUGGGACUGAGACACGGCCCAGACUCCUACGGGAGGCAGCAGUGGGGAAUUUUGGACAAUGGGGGCAACCCUGAUCCAGCCGUGCCGCGUGAGUGAAGAAGGCCUUCGGGUUGUAAAGCUCUUUCGGCCGGGAAGAAAUCGCACAGGCUAAUACUCUGUGUGGAUGACGGUACCGGCAUAAGAAGCACCGGCUAACUACGUGCCAGCCGCCGCCGUAA